AUUGAACGCUGGCGGCAGGCCUAACACAUGCAAGUCGAGCGGAUGAAGGGAGCUUGCUCCUGGAUUCAGCGGCGGACGGGUGAGUAAUGCCUAGGAAUCUGCCUGGUAGUGGGGGAUAACGUCCGGAAACGGGCGCUAAUACCGCAUACGUCCUGAGGGAGAAAGUGGGGGAUCUUCGGACCUCACGCUAUCAGAUGAGCCUAGGUCGGAUUAGCUAGUUGGUGGGGUAAAGGCCUACCAAGGCGACGAUCCGUAGCUGGUCUGAGAGGAUGAUCAGUCACACUGGAACUGAGACACGGUCCAGACUCCUACGGGAGGCAGCAGUGGGGAAUAUUGGACAAUGGGCGAAAGCCUGAUCCAGCCAUGCCGCGUGUGUGAUGAAGGUCUUCGGAUUGUAAAGCACUUUAAGUUGGGAGGAAGGGCAGUAAGUUAAUACCUUGCUGUUUUGACGUUACCAACAGAAUAAGCACCGGCUAACUUCGUG
rnacentral:rRNA from 1 species